CUGGCUCCCUCGGCACUCGCCGUGUCUCCAAGCCGCUGAAUUGCAUCCCCGCGGGAGCAGGGGCGAGGGUCGCCUGCAGCCCGGCAUCCUCCUCUUGCCCUCUCUCACCUCCCUUCUCCCCGAGGAAGCUCCUUUGCUCCUUUUCUCCUCUGUCGGUCCUCAAGUGCAUCAGUAAUCCCUGCUGCGGCUGCUGCUGCGGCUGCACCUGGGAACGGCAGGAUCUGCAAGUUAUUUCUGCGCCGGUAAAGCCAUAAGUGAAGAGGAAAAGCCAUGUCCAGUACAGGAGAGCAACGUGCCAGGCUGGGUACCAGCCAGCAACUUUUUCCAUCGCUGCCGACUGCUGAUGAGUGCGAGGAGAAGGAGCAAGAAGGAGAGGGCAGAGCGAGAGAGCCGGGCGCUGCCGAUUCCGCCGCCGCGGAGUAAACACGGCGAGAACUCCACGGCAUUUCAGAAAACGAUUUACAGAUUUGUUCCACAUUCUUCUAGAGAUUUCACUCAAAUGCUCACUGGUGACACGUCUUGGGAUAUUAGCACAGCACCAGAGGUGAAGGGAGACUCACAGUAAUUCAGGCUGGGCAUAACUUCAUGCUGCUUACAACAAUGAUGGAUUGUCUGCAGUGUAACCACCUGACCUCAGCUAAAUCUAGCAAUUAACUGCAUACCUGUUUCCACAUCUCCCAGCUAAAUGGUUACUAUUAGUUACAGCCUGUCGGGUAAUAACAAUAAUUAACACUCACGCUUAAACAGCUCCUUUCCUUUACUAAGCCCCAACUCCUCACAAAGGCCACUUUUGGGGGAAACUGAGUCAAAGUAUGAUCAGCAGAGUAGUAAUGAUUGGAGGUGGAGCUACCUUGUUAUCAGCCCAAUCCUUUUUUUUCUGUUCAACAGAUUGAGCAGGUGGAUCUAUCCCAGAGGAUCAACUAAAAAGUGUCACCUUCUCAGCACAAGUCUCUUAAGGAGGCUUUAAUCUGAAGGAAUGAAAUUCAGGGAUGAGUAGGUGAGACAGAAAAAGAACUUGGAAGAAGGAAAUUAGUAAGAGGUCAGAGGAAAUUUCUCUUGGGAUUGUUAUAGAGGUUUGCAUGUCAAUGAGUGGCUAAGGCUAAGGAGAGAAACAAUAUAGCUGUCUCAUUUAGGCAGAUGAUUAUCUCUGCAUUGUGACGAGUGGCCAUCGAGUGAUAGGGAUGUGCCCUGAGCACAUCUUAUGCAGUGUGCACACACUACACCUGCAGAGCUCUUCAGCAAAUGCACAACAAUCAGUCAUGGAGAGAAAACACUGGAUCCAUCCAAGGACCACAGACACAUUUUCCAGCUUAGACCUUGUUGUGGGUGGACACAGGAGACACAUAGAGUAUGAGCCUUCCCCUGAGCCCUGUUUUCAGGAAUUACCAGUUUAGGAGAUUCUAACAACAGCAGAAACUGCACCUGAUCCCUUACUUUUAAUAAGUAAUAAUGUAGUAGGACUUUUAAUGGACCUGUCUUCCCAAAAUUUGUCUAAUCUGUAUUUAUACUCCUGGUGUCUGAGGCAAGCUGUGAUAGUCAAGCUUACAAUCUGAUUAUGUGUACUUUUGAAUACUCGUGGUCUGCUCUUAUCUGAGAGAGACAUUUUAAAUCGCUGUAAUCUAAUCUUGCUGCCAGCCAUCUUUUGCCACAGAUGAUGUGAUGAUUGAGCCGUCAGAGAUAAGAAAGCGGAGUCUUUGGCACAAAAGAAUAAUCUGCUGUCCUUUGAUGUAAGGGAUAGCUUUCUCGGUUGGGAGCAGGCACCGAGUUCCUGUACUCAGACAAAAAGAAGCUGCUGUGAUGUGACUGAGCUCCAUGGCUGUGCCCAGAGAAGGGAAAGACUGCUUUCAUUGGUACCCAGAUCUGAGGCACCACCUGAUCUGAUAUUUCAGUACCCCAUGUGCAGCUCCAGCAUCUGGUGAGAAGGUGUUUUCCAUGAGAGCUGCUACACUACCUGGUCAGGAGACUGUUCUGUUCCACGUGUCCAGUAUUGCCUGGGGAGAGGGGAUAUGAACAAGCCAUAGGAACCAUGGAAGAAGAGGCAGGUAUAAAACAUGAUACCAUGAGAGCAAGUUAAAAUUGCAGGUUUUAGCUGGCCUCUUCAGCCUCUGCCUUUGCCAGGAUGAGCAGUGGCUGGGGGUUUUCAUCUGCACCAGGAGGAACUACCUCAAAGCCAUAGAUCUGCUCAUGCACAAGAGUGUUGGGGAGUUUCUUGCUUCUGGGUUCAGGAAGAAUAAGCUGGAAUCUAGGGAGGGGAGCAGAUGCCAUUUCUAGGUAUAUGUUGCAGUGGAGCAAGCAUCUUCCUCAGGAUUUAUAUAGCCCUGAGAAGAGAAGCAGGAACAGCUUGAAACGUGGAUGAGUACACAAAUCUUCACUUGGGACUGGGCAGGUUCUGAGACAGGUGGAAAUAUGGGCUUGGUCAAGGACAUAAAUCCUUAUGACAGUGAUUGCAAUAAUCUGCCAUCUGCAGGAAUCCUUUCCCCUGGAGUGUUUCAUAUUCGCUAUCAGAGACUACCUUUGUGAAAAAUGUGCUCCUGAGAGACUUCCUGGCUCCACAGCAUUUCUGUCUCCUGAAACAUGCUAGGCUAUGCACCCUGUGUGAUGGGAGCACCUCAGGGACUAUGCCAACCCUGCCUGUCCUGUGAUGGAAGGAAGGGAGAAAAAGGAAUGAGAGAGGAUAUGGAGAACAAAACAGAACUGGGUGGGCUUAACCAGCUGAGUUUUUAGUAUAAGGCAGGGGCAUAAUAUAGCCUGGCCUUUUGUGAAUCUGAAUGCUUUUAGACAAAUGAGUAUAAUCUUUCCCUAGUAAAUAUUUGUAUCAUCAGGAUUUUUUGAAUCUACACUCAUUUUAAAUAAUGACUUUUCUCAGAGAAGACUGUGUAAUGAACGGAGACCAAGAAGAACACUGCUCCAUUGAUUCCUAUCAAGCCAUGAGAAUACUGAACUUCAGUUGUCACUAGGGCAGUUCACCUGACAUUCUCUCAGCUCUGGGUUUAUCUGCAUUGACAGGACAAUAAAAAUUCUUGUCUAUCACUCUACUGCCAUCACCCUUGGCUUCUGCACUUGGUUGUGGAAGAAUUUAAUGGAGGUAAGAGAAUAAUGAUGAAGAGAAAAAGAUUACAAACUUAAUGGCCUGUGAAUGGUGUUUAUAGUUUGUCAUCGUUACAGAUGGUGUUUUCUUGCUUGUGCACCUUGCUUGAUUUCUCUUAGCCAGAAGUGUUGAUGAAGUAGAAGUUCAAAGUACAACUAAAGAUAAAAUUCCUAAUAGAAGAAAGAAACCUUUUUACUUCAAACUACCUUUUUACUGCAAGAAAAGUAAAAAAUAGAAGAAAAAAAUGAGAACCCUUGAGGCUGAUGGAAGAUGAGAGCUUGCUCAUUGACAGUAUUUUAUUUCAGAACUGAAAAAAAUGACCAGAAAAAAAUUUCUGUGAGGCAACUCUGUCCUGCUUCACUGAUGCAUUGUUUCUUAAGUCAUGGUCAGAAAUCCUUUUCUGGAGACAGUUGCAUCACUCACAGGUCAACCAGCAGAGCUUUCCAUACACACACUCCCAUGGUGCACAAUCAGGAGAGAAGGAUCUGCUCAUCAGUUAAACCUGUCCUCAUUUACUCUGCCAUUUCUGCCUAAAGCAAGGUGUGGGAUAUUCACAUGAAUUUUGCUGCUAGGUGAUAACCAGGGCAGAUAUCCACACCUGAGCAGCACAGUGCACAGUCAGAGAUACCUUCCCAACUGGGGCAUCUGUUUGGAGAGUUAAUGUUUGCAUAGGAUCUAUCUGGCCAGAAACCAAGGCAGAGGAAGAAAGGGAAUCUUCCUCUCAUCUUUUCCCCCUCCAGCCUGGCAGCUCCUUCAGCAGCUUCUCAGAUCUGUGACAUCCAGCUGUGAUUCUGUAGCUUGGUGGGACAGGGAGAGAUGCACCCUCUAAGGAGGGAAGAGGAAACAGUCAUGAGAGACAGCUUGUCCUCCUACCUUGGUGAGAAACUUCCAGAAGGAAGGAAUUGGAAUGUGUAGGGGAAAAUCAGGAGAAAAUGCAAAGAAAAUCUGUAUUUCCUUGUUGUCAAUCUUUUCAUCAAGAAUCGUGAAGUGAAUUUCAGGCUCUUGAUGUCAUGGGUUUAUGUAAUAUUAGAAACAUCCUUCAUUUUCUUUAAUUUCUUUAAAAGAAAUAAGAAAAAAUAACUAGUCGUCUUAACUGUGGAGAACAUUGCAAAGACAAAGCUCUAAAUCUAAUCUGAAGUGUUCCAACACAAAAACAAAGCCAAAGCAGUAAAAUUAAAAUAUUCCACUUGAGCAUUUCAAAAAGGGUUUCUCUUUCUUUUUAUUCCCCUUUAAAAAUAGUCUCUGGAGCUAUUUUUGCCAGCCACAAAUCUGGUGGUUUUUUUUUUUAAUAUGUGUAUUUAAAACAAAUAAGUUUAUGUUACAUACGUAUAGAUAGAUAUGUAAAAGGGAAACAAUUUUUUUUUUGUAUCUGGACAAUCUGUUACAAUCACCUUGAAAUUAAUAUUAGUUUUCUGAAUCUCUUUGGUCCCUUUUUUAAACUCCAUUUGGCAUAGAAUUUUAAAAAAUCAGUUAUUUGUGUGAUUUAACUUAAUUGAGAUAUUUUCCAGAACACCUUGCAAUAUAAAAAUAAUUUAUUUCUAUAUGUUUGGAUAGAUUCUUUUUUGCUCACAGGGCUUAGCAAUUUGUCUGGGACAUCUGUGGGUGCAGCACCUGAAAUAUUAAAGCUCAUAUACAAAUAUUUGUUUCUGGUAAACAGGACACUGAUAAUGUAAUUUUAGGGUUAAACUUAAUAUUAGGUAUAAAAGAACUCUAUAAAAUAAUUUCAAAAUAGUUAAAAAUUAUGUCAGAUUUUUAUCAAAACCUUGAACAAAAAAGAAAAAGAAAUCCCCUCUUCAUCAGUAAAAAACCCUUUCAUCUAGAAAAAUGAGACUUAUUAAAUAAGGAUGACGAAAAAACAAUAACUCUGUCAGUUUAAUACAUGUAUACACACACAAAGGUCAAUAAAUAGCCCAAGUAAUGGAAGGAACUCAUAAGCAAUGCUUCUGCUGAUUUCAUUGCAAGCAUUUCCUGAGAUUACAUUUAUUUUUGUGAGUAUUGUUGCUUGGAAAGCUCUGUGUGUUUAAUAUCUAUUCUCACAUCGAGAAACCUUAGGGGAAAGACUCCAUUUGCAUUUACUUUCAUGUAAUUAAUAAUAAUUCAGGGUUUGUGCCUUUCUUAUGCCAAAACUGUGCUUGCCAGUGUUUGCAGCGUAUAUUAGUCCAAGUCUGAAUCACUCUGAUUUCCCCCUCUGUUUGAAACAAUGUUUGUUCAAAAGAUAUGAAGUGUGCUUCUCUUUUGUCUUCAUUCAAUCCAGACUAGAUUUGAACAUUUUUAUCCAGACUCCUGGAUAUUCUGCUUUAAAAUGGCUUCAAUUUUCCAGUCUGACCAAGUCUCCGUGUGCAUUUUUGUUCCUUUAUGCCUGAUUGCAAUCAGUGGGAGCCUCGUCAUUCAUUUCCAUGGAAUUGGGAUCAAGUUCGUUUGCAGAAUAACAGAUAUGUUUGCUGUCAUGAAAUAAGCCAGAUCUCAGGGCAGCAGCAUCCAGGGAACUUGAGAGAACAAGGAAUAAAUUCAGUCUCUGAUCUUCCUUGGGAGGAACCUAAGCAAGUCCUGGUUUAUUAGUGGUGACUGCCCUAAAUAACACAUCUUGAGUGUCUGCCCUUUAACUGCAAUAAAAGCUUCUUUUCUCACUCAGGCUCUCCCGGUAGUCAGCUCAUUUUAGUAUUUUUUUAUGAGGCCUCUGUCUUCUGCAAGAUUUCCUUCUCAUGAUUUCAAAUACUCAUUGACACACUGGGUAUUUUGGUGUUUUCAGCAUCUGUUGACUCUUUGAGGUUCAAACUGCAUCUUUUAUAAUUUGGUUCUUUUUUCAUUUUCCAAAAGAGGUAAAAGUUAAAAAACAAGACAUGGGCCCUGGAUUGUUUUUUUUUGUUUUGUUUUGUUUUGUCAGGUAGGUGCAUCAUUCUGCACAAUCUUAUUGCGUCUUUGUUGUUGUUUUUGCCAGACAACAUAAUUAUCAUGAUUGGUGGGUGGCCAACAAAGUUUUAAUUAGAUCCAGGGGGAUUUGAGCAGGACUAUGUAUUAAAAAAAAAUGCAAAACAACGUUGCUAGAAUUAUUGUUUUUUAUGUUGUGAGUCAUCCUCUGUAAAAUAUGAUGUUGCCUCUUUGCAUUUCCAGUUCUGCCACUCUCUUCUCCUGCCUUGCUCUUUCCCUUGGUUCACAGGGAGUGGUGAACUGGCAUUAACAUCCUUACACUGAGCCAGCCCUGCCAAGCUGCUGCUGCUAGAAAAUGUCCAGCCCCUGCCAAACAGAGCCAUUGAUCCUCCAGCUUGUGCCAGUUCAAAGGAGCACGGGAUGCAUAUCCAGCCUUGUGGAAGGGCUGACAAGUGAUUUGGGGCAGGCGGUUGGCACGGACAUCAGUGAGCAGCACUGGAGGCAGGGAGAGGGCUACACUCAGGAGAUCUUUCUGGCUCUGGUUGUAGUUAUUAGCUUUUGACUGGAAAAGGGCUGUUUUUUAUUUAUUCAGUAAUCUAAAAAUAUCCUGGUAAUGAAUUAACCUGAACAGGGGGAGGGGGACAAAAAGCCACGCAUAUUGAUUUUCUAAAAGCAGGCAGGAAUGCUGUUAUUUUCCAAUUAACGUUCAGCAUUAGAGAACAAUCCAGCUGGAAAGAACCAGCUAAGCAAUUCCAAGCUUUUUGCUUUCUGCACUUUUUCUAGUGAUAUUUUUCUCAUUUAACUUCUUAAAAAAGAAAAACCCUAAUAACAAUUUAGGCCAUUUCUUUGGCUAAUGGGGAUUAACUUUUUGUGGGCUCCAGUGGCAUGGCUAUGGGAUAACUAUGGUACAAAUCCAACUGUUCCUGCUGAAUCAGAAAGCAUGUUCAUCUAAUAAAGGCUGACCCUGCUCCAGUACUGGAGAAAAGUGUGAGACAAACCAUCUGAAUGCAGUAUUCAUGAUAAGGAAGCUUUUCUGUGAAACUCAGAGCAGGUCUGGGUUUCGGGUGAGACUGGUGAUGAGUUCUAGUCUGAUUUUGGCUGUCACCCUUUUAUUUCCACUUCUCUGUUUUAUUCUGUCUGGUAUAGUGUGCAUGGCUCUUCCUUCUUAUGGCUUGGCCUACUCAAGGCUCACCAGAUUCAAUAGUAAACAAUGAGUAAAAAUGACAUUAUCACAUCCAGCCCCUUAAGUCCCCUUUAAUGCCAUUGAGUGCAGCUGAAUGCUGUGACCAGGAGCAGCCUCCACCACCAACCCAGCAGCAGCUCAGGGCCACACCACUGGCUCUCCACUGGAUGCUGCAACUCAAGUUAUGCACCCAAAGCAACGAGCAGUGAUAACAGGGAAGCAGACUGGAAGCAGGGAAAUUACCACUUUCUGAGUAAACACAUGCACACACAGGUCGACAUACAUCUGCAUAAAUUGAGAUCCUUACUUUUUAAACAGGUUUGUUUCUGAGGUUCUAUCUGAGUUUUCAAGUUUUCUAUGCUUCCUGAAUUUUUAUCUUGCUCUCUUGCAGGUUGCCCUUUUCAAAUUAUUAACUUUUGCAGGGGUGAAUUCUACUGAGUUUAAGCAACAGCAGAGGUCGUCUGGCCAACAGCAUAUGCUGUAUUUCCAUGUAAUUUGUUCCUUUUCUCCCAAAUGCUCCAGGGACUCUGGCUGCAGACAGUUCAUAUUGGGACUUUACCUGGGAAACAAGUUGUGGAAAUAAGUGCUGAAACAGAAUUCAUCUUGGACUUGGCAAAGCAUUUGGAAAAACUACAAGCACACAUUACUACUAUAGUGAGACAGAAAUUUUGCCAGAUAUUUCUGAACAGUUUUGCAUAAAUUUCAAUAUAUAUAUAUGUUCUUAUUUAGCAAAUGUUUAUUUAGCUAUCACUGCAGUUUUCCUUUAAGGGUCUAGGAAGGGCCCAGGGAGAGCGACAAAACCACCAGCUUUUGCUGAGGGAUGAUUUGCCCCACAGCCAUACUGUGUGCUCAGAGUCUGGAGACAAAUUUUAGGGCCUGGAUUUAUUUAUAGUGUUUAAUAGAUGCUUUGAUAAUUACUUGCAUGGGAGUGGAAAACAAAUUCUCCAGAUUAAAAACCAUAAAGAAAGCUUGUUUGGAUUAGCAUGAUCAACCAAAAGCAUCCAUUUGAUUCUUGGUGUGUAUAUAUAAUUUACUGAGCUGCAAAAUAAACACACUCUACUGUU